CCCUGCCCUUUGUACACACCGCCCGUCGCUACUACCGAUUGAAUGGUUUAGUGAGAUCUCCGGAUGGGCGUCUCAUCGCUGGAAACGGUGGAGAGAUGACCAGAAGUUGCUCAAACUUGAUCAUUUAG
rnacentral:rRNA from 1 species